CAGUCAUCUCUACUUAAUACUGUAGUAUGGAGCAUUUAAUUGUCAAUGGGGCAUACCAUUUAGAUACUUUUGGGUUUUAGAUAGGUCGUUUUGCAUCACUGUGUGGGUAUUUAAAAGAAAAUUACUGCUUAAAGUAUUUGCAAAACGAUCCAAUUGGGUUUAUUUGAUACCUAAAAUUAGCCGCUGGGAGCUGACAGAUUGCAUUUCUGGUUAUAUUUUUGUACAAAGAUGUGGUAUUAUUUAUAGUAGUUUUGUUAAAGUACUAGAAUAAUGUGAUGUAGAUUCGUAAAAACAGCGAAAAACCAUAUUUGGUGUUUGCAAAUGAAGCCAAAUGAUAAAUCAGGAUUGUUUUAUUUAGGGAUGGAUAUUGGAAUGGAAAUUUGUUAUUUUUUAUGGAAUUAUAUUGAAAAACGUUUCAAGUAUUCGCAUACAGUUUAACCACCUUUAUUAUUUUAAAAACAUUGCAUUUAGAGAACAGUUAUUUAUAAGACUAAGACAACAGUAAUUUUCUAGUCACAUCAUAUUCAACUAGUUACUGUACCAACAAUAACACAAUGUCAAACACAUCUUUUGAAAACCAUCAAUAAAGUGAUUUAAAACAAGGAAA